rnacentral:rRNA from 1 species
AGCGAACGCUGGCGGCAGGCUUAACACCUGCAAGUCGAACGGGCACUUCGGUGCUAGUGGCAGACGGGUGAGUAACGCGUGGGAACGUACCUUUCGGUUCGGAAUAAUUCAGGGAAACUUGGACUAAUACCGGAUACGCCCUUCGGGGGAAAGAUUUAUCGCCGAUAGAUCGGCCCGCGUCUGAUUAGCUAGUUGGUGAGGUAAUGGCUCACCAAGGCGACGAUCAGUAGCUGGUCUGAGAGGAUGAUCAGCCACAUUGGGACUGAGACACGGCCCAAACUCCUACGGGAGGCAGCAGUGGGGAAUAUUGGACAAUGGGCGCAAGCCUGAUCCAGCCAUGCCGCGUGAGUGAUGAAGGCCUUAGGGUUGUAAAGCUCUUUUGUCCGGGAAGAUAAUGACUGUACCGGAAGAAUAAGCCCCGGCUAACUUCGUGCCAGCAGCCGCUGUAAGAC